rnacentral:rRNA from 1 species
UACGUAGGGGGCUAGCGUUGUCCGGAUUUAUUGGGCGUAAAGAGCGUGUAGGCGGCCUGGUAGGUCUGCUGUGAAAACUCGAGGCUCAACCUCGAGAUGUCGGCGGAAACCAUCUGGCUAGAGUCCGGAAGAGGAGAGUGGAAUUCCUGGUGUAGCGGUGAAAUGCGCAGAUAUCAGGAAGAACACCUAUGGCGAAGGCAGCUCGCUGGGACGGUACUGACGCUAAGGCGCGAAAGCGUGGGGAGCGAACAGG